UGGGGAAUAUUGCACAAUGGGGGAAACCCUGAUGCAGCGACGCCGCGUGAGCGAAGAAGUAUUUCGGUAUGUAAAGCUCUAUCAGCAAGGAAGAUAAUGACGGUACUUGACUAAGAAGCUCCGGCUAAAUACGUGCCAGCAGCCGCGGUAAUACGUAUGGAGCAAGCGUUAUCCGGAUUUACUGGGUGUAAAGGGAGCGUAGACGGCAUGGCAAGUCUGAUGUGAAAGCCCGGGGCUCAACCCCGGAACUGCAUUGGAAACUGUCGUGCUGGAGUGCAGGAGAGGUAAGCGGAAUUCCUAGUG
rnacentral:rRNA from 1 species